AUUGAACGCUGGCGGCAGGCCUAACACAUGCAAGUCGAGCGAGCGGCGGACGGGUGAUUAAUGUAUGGGGACUGCCCGCUAAAGGGGGAUAACUACUGGAAAAGGAGGAUAAUACCGAAUAAUGUCGGGUAACCCAGAGGGGAUUAGAUAGUAGGUAAGGUAAUGGCUUACUUAGGCGACGAUCCCUAGCUGGUAUGAGAGGAUGAUCAGCCACACUUGGACGGAGACACGGCCCAGACUCCACCGGAGGCAGCAGUGGGGAAUAUUGCACAAUGGGCGCAAGCCUUAGGCGGCCAUGCCGCGUGUAUGAAGAAGGCCCUAGGGUUGUAAAGUACUUUCAGUCGGGAGGCGUUACCGACAGAAGAAGCACCGGCUAACUCCGUGCCAGCAGCCGCGGUAAUUC
rnacentral:rRNA from 1 species